UACAGAGGUCUCAAGCGUUGUUCGGAUUCAUUGGGCGUAAAGGGUGCGUAGGCGGCGCGGUAAGUCGGGUGUGAAAUUUCGAGGCUUAACUUCGAAACUGCAUUCGAUACUGCCGUGCUAGAGGACUGGAGAGGAGACUGGAAUUUACGGUGUAGCAGUGAAAUGCGUAGAUAUCGUAAGGAAGACCAGUGGCGAAGGCGGGUCUCUGGACAGUUCCUGACACUGAGACACGAAGGCCAGGGGAGCAAACGGG
rnacentral:rRNA from 1 species